rnacentral:rRNA from 1 species
AUAGCUGAUUGCACCAACAAAUAGUUGAUGCAAUAUUGACUCUGUCAAAUAAAAUUCUAGGUAGAAUUAUGAUAAUGACAUUGUCUGCCUAUAUGUCUUGACCAAAUUACGUGCCAGCAGUCGCGGUAAUACGUAGAAGACUAGUGUUAUUCAUCUUUAAUAGGUUUAAAGGGUACCUAGACGGUAAAUCAAGCCUUCACAGGGACUAAUUUACUAGAGUUACUUACGAGGGGGUAUUAAAGUACUGCAGGUGUAGAGAUGAAAUUCUGUCAUACCUCUUUUCAAAAGAAAAAUUAUGGCACAGGUAUAGGUGAAAGCAUCCCCUUAUGUGAUAACUGACGUUGAAGGACGAAGGCUUUGUGUCGCGAACAGGAUUAGAUACCCCNGUAGUCAAAGCAGAAAAUGAUGAAUGUCAUAGAUUAGAUAAAUAGUUUAUUCUAUAAAUGAAAAUGUAAGCAUUCCACCUCAAGAGUAAUUUGGCAACAUUGGAACUGAAAUCAUUAGACCGUUUCUGAAACCAGUAGUGAAGUAUGUUGUUUAAUUUGAUGAUCCGCAAAAAACCUUACCACAAUUUGAAUAUUUAUAUCUAUCUUUUUUUUUCGUAAAAAAAUAAAAAGGUAAUAUAUUUACAAGCGUUGCACGGCUGUCUUCAGUUAAUGUCGCGAGACUUUGGUUAGUUCCAUUAAAUUAACGUAAACCCUUACUUUAUUUUUAUAUGAAGUAGUUCCCCGCUAUAUUGGAUAUGAUAACAGGGACUAAGACAAGUCAUCAUGGCCUGAAUGUUGUGGGCUAUAGACGUGCCACAUAAACCUUACAAAAGGGUGUGAAAUUGCGAAAUUGAGCUAAUCCCCCAAAA